rnacentral:rRNA from 1 species
AUUGAACGCUGGCGGCAGGCCUAACACAUGCAAGUCGAGCGGUAGCACAGAGAGCUUGCUCUCGGGUGACGAGCGGCGGACGGGUGAGUAAUGUCUGGGAAACUGCCUGAUGGAGGGGGAUAACUACUGGAAACGGUAGCUAAUACCGCAUAACGUCGCAAGACCAAAGUGGGGGACCUUCGGGCCUCAUGCCAUCAGAUGUGCCCAGAUGGGAUUAGCUAGUGGGUGGGGUAACGGCUCACCUAGGCGACGAUCCCUAGCUGGUCUGAGAGGAUGACCAGCCCCACUGGAACUGAGACACGGGCCAGACUCCUACGGGAGGCAGCGGUGGGGAAUAUUGCACAAUGGGCGCAAGCCUGAUGCAGCCAUGCCGCGUGUGUGAAGAAGGCCUUCGGGUUGUAAAGCACUUUCAGCGGGGAGGAAGGCGGUGAGGUUAAUAACCUCAUCGAUUGACGUUACCCGCAGAAGAAGCACCGGCUAACUCCGUGCCAGCCGCCGCAGUAA